ACUUCGCCGUAGAAUGCUAACUCAUCGCAUGUUCAUACGUGACUGGCACUUUUAUUUUAUCGGCCCCCGAAUGGAUGAAAAGUAAGAAUGUCCUCGGUUGGAUUUGAACUUAGGAGACAAAGAUCCUGGACUAUACUACAAAAAAAGUCUCUCUUUCUGACGGUAGCGAGGAGAUGCGAGUUUGACGUCCACAACGUCGCGUGUUAAUGCAGCGCCCAGACCCUGUAUCACCAAAUCUACUUCACUACCAGAAAAAUGGACGCCAUAUUGCUACAACCAGAAACGGACUCACCAUAUACGAGACAGACAGACGAGAAGAACAUAAAAGAAACAAUAUCCAAC
rnacentral:lncRNA from 1 species